GGGGGAACUGAAACAUCUAAGUACCCCGAGGAAAAGAAAUCAACCGAGAUUCCGAAAGUAGCGGCGAGCGAAAUUGGACUAGCCCUUAAGCUUUACACGCGUUAGACGAACGGUCUGGAAAGUCCGACGAUACAGGGUGAUAGUCCCGUAGUUGACGACGUGUGUUCAGUGAAAUCGAGUAGGGCGGGACACGUGAUAUCCUGUCUGAAUAUGGGGGGACCAUCCUCCAAGGCUAAAUACUACUGACUGACCGAUAGUGAACCAGUACCGUGAGGGAAAGGCGAAAAGAACCCCUGUGAGGGGAGUGAAAUAGAACCUGAAACCGUGUACGUACAAGCA
rnacentral:rRNA from 1 species